CGUUCGUCACAAUGAAGUAUCCAUGAAAUUCCAUUUGUGAAGCUCCGUGAUACUUUGAUCAAUUCCAAUUCGUGAAGCUCUGUGAUACUUCGAUCAAUUCCGAUUCAUGAGUUCGUUUUUCUUUUUUCGAUUUCAUCUUUGAUUGGGAGUUUUUUUUUUUCUUUUAGCGUUCGUUCUUGUUUUUUCGAUUCUGUUUUUCAAUUUUUCCUAAAUAGUUUCUGGUCAUUUAGUCUUUUCUUUCUCUUUUUCUUAAGAACCUAAUGAUUUCUUCAGCUCACUGUGAACAUAAUGGAUUGUGAGCAGAGUUUGUGUGCUUUCAUGAAAUUUUUCUUUGUUCAUUGCGUUGAUAUUUAGAGUUUUGAUUGAUUAAUUAAGUUAGGGCUUGCAUUCUUCACUGUUUCAUUUGAUAUUGUAUAUUCUUUCUAUAAACAUAUCAAUGUAUUUUGAUGUUUGAUAUUUUUAGGUUUGACAUUACAGCUACAUUGGCUUUGUGUUUGUCAUUGAUAAUAUCUAUCACUGUAUUAGAAGAUAUCAGUGGCUAUCAUUGAUAAUGCCUAUCACUGAUAGAAUGUGUGAUUGCUAUCAUUUUUUAUUUGUUCAUUAAUUUUUAUUGAUAUCCAUUGAAAGACAUGCCUAGUUUUAGAUUGAUAUCAAUGAUAUUGAUAGAUUUAUAUUUGCUUUUGAUAGCUAUUAGAACCUAUUGAUAUUGUUAUUCAAUAGUUUUUGUUUUACUUUUGCAGGAAUUUUAAAACAUGAUUAUUCCAAUAGUUGUUUUUCAUAGUGGAAUAUGGAAUGAAAAACACUGUUAUGUGAAUUACAAAUCUACUGGAGUUUAGUAGAUGAUAUAAUGGUUUUUGAAGAUUUUAUGGGUUUAAUAGUUAAGGAGAUUUAUUUGGAUGUGUCUACUUCUUCUAUAGAACUUUCAGUUUUAUUAGAUUUUGUUAUGAAUAAGGUUCAAAAUGUAGUUCAAAUUCAUGAAGAUAAGGAUAUACCUUGGUUUUUGGCUUUAGUUAAGGAACACAAUACAUGACAUCCUUUGGUUGCUCAUGCUGGUAGUUCAUGUUUGGAAGUGUCUUCUAGUGUUGUUUCUAGUGGAGUUGAGAAUUAUUUGUCUACUGUUCCUUCUUCUAAACCUAUGAUUGAUGAUGGUGAUUUCCAAGUGAUUAUGGAUAUACAUAUUGCUCAUGAUUUGAAAGAAAAAAAUGUGUUUGCUAGUAAAGAGAUUUUAUCAAAUUGUUUUUACUUGAUAACGGUUAAGAAGAAUUUUGAAUUUAAGAACGUCAAAUUCAAGAGCAAUUUUGUUUCGAUGUGUUCAAGAUAGUUGUCAGUGGUAUGUGAGGGCAUCCCGUUACAAGCGGAGUGUUUUGUGGAUGCUUAGGAAGUCUAUUGAUAUUCAUGAUUGUUCUAUAAAAAGUAUUCAAACUUGUCAUAGGCAACCUUCUUCGUCCUUAAUAGCUGAAUGUUUGAGAAAUGAUUUUAGAUUUAGUUCUUCUCAUACCCCAACUCCUAGUGAUAUUGUGAAUAAAGUCCGUAAGGAAUUUGGAGUAACUAUUAGCUAUUAUAAAGCAUGGAGGGAAAAAGAGCAAAUAAUGAAGUCUUUGAAAGGCGAUGCACGGGAAUCAUAUGCCAAAGUUUUUGACGAAGUUAGAAGAAAAGAAUCCAGGUACAUUUACUGCCUAUGAAGCUGACAUAAAUUGGCAUUUUAAGUAUUGUUAUAUGGCUAUUGGAGCAUCAAUUGAGGGUUGGAAGCAUUGUAGAUCUAAUAUAUCAGUUGAUGGGACGCUCUUGAAAUGUAAAUAUGUCGAGACUCUUUUGACAGCUUCAAUAAUUGACGGUUGAUCCUAUUAACAAUGAAGAAUAUAAAGUAGUUGAUGGGGAUAAUCACUUUUUGGUAAAUUUGGCCUAUAAAUCAUGCAGUUGUCGUGUUUGGGAUUUGGUGGAGAUUCCAUGUGCUCAUGAUGUGCUGUUAUUCAUGGGCUAAAUUUAGAUAUAUGUACUUUUGUGUCAGACUACUAUUUUUGCAGUACAUUGUUAUCAACCUAUAAAGGAUCAGUUUAUCCUAUUGGAAAUCAUUCUGAUUGGAGAUCUGUCGAUGUUGGUGUGAAUGUAUUACCUCCAAUAGUUAAACGUCCAUCUGGACGACCACGUAAACAAAGAAUAUUAUCAAUUGGUGAAAAGAAAAAGAGCUCGAAGUGCAGUCGAUGUCAUCGUCAUGGCCAUAAUUGUAGGACAUACAAAUUUCCACCAGUUGUUUAAUAAAGAAGCUUGAUUUGUAAUUGAUGUUUGUAAUGAAGAAGCUCGUUUUGUAAUUGAUGUUUGUCAUCAAUUUAUCAAUGAUAGUGAGACAACCGAUGUUUUUCACCAAUUUGUCAAUUAGAUUGUAGUUGUUGCUUGUUGUCAUCAAUUUAACCAUUAGAUAGUGAGACAAUUUGUUAUUGAUGUUUGUCAUAAAUAUAUUAGAGACCUUGUUACUAAUGUUUUGUUAGUGGAACA